rnacentral:rRNA from 1 species
UUGGAGGGCAAGUCUGGUGCCAGCAGCCGCGGUAAUUCCAGCUCCAAUAGCGUAUAUUAAAGUUGUUGCAGUUAAAAAGCUCGUAGUUGAAUUUCGGGGUUCUACCGUUGGUCGGGCUUUGUCUGUACUGGUGUGUAGAAUUUCUACCUUCUGGGGAACCAUCAUGCUAUUAAUUUAGCGUGGUGGGAAACCAGGACCUUUACCUUGAAAAAAUUAGUGUGUUCAAAGCAGGCUUAUGUCUGAAUACAUUAGCGUGGAAUAAUAGAAUAGGACGGUGGUCCUGUUUUGUUGGUUUCUGAAUCACCGUAAUGAUUAAUAGGGAUAGUUGGGGGCAUUAGUAUUCAAUUGCCAGAGGUGAAAUUCUUGGAUUUAUUGAAGACUAACUUCUGCGAAAGCAUUUGCCAAGGAUGUUUUCAUUAAUCAAGAACGAAAGUUAGGGGAUCGAAGACGAUCAGAUACCGUCGUAGUCUUAACCAUAAACUAUGCCGACUAGGGAUCGGACGAUGUUAAUUUUUCUUGACUCGUUCGGCGCCUUACGGGAAAC